UACGGAGGAUCCGAGCGUUAUCCGGAUUUAUUGGGUUUAAAGGGUGCGUAGGCGGUUUGAUAAGUUAGAGGUGAAAUGUCGGGGCUCAACCCCGAAACUGCCUCUAAUACUGUUGGACUAGAGAAUGGUUGCGGUAGGCGGAAUGUAUGGUGUAGCGGUGAAAUGCUUAGAGAUCAUACAGAACACCGAUUGCGAAGGCAGCUUACCAAACUAUAUCUGACGUUGAGGCACGAAAGCGUGGGUAGCAAACAGG
rnacentral:rRNA from 1 species